GACGAUCCCACGAUCUUGAAGAUCGCGUUAUUUGUAAUCAACGUCAUUUUCAGAAGUUGAAAUUACAAAUCAAAUUCUAAAAAAUCGUAUCAUCAAUAAUGGAUGAUGAUCAUGGAAAUUUGGUGCUAUAUGGUCUCAUUACCUAUUCAAUCAUCACGAUUAUGCGACGUGUGAAAAAGAAGCGUACCAAAAAACGUCGUUGGUGGGUUCGACCAAUGUUGCUGGACCGUAGUAGACACGGCCACUUUCACAAUCUUUUCAAAUUUAUGACACACGACAAUGAGCAAUUCUUUAAAUACACACGCAUGACUGUCCAUCAAUUUGAAAAGCUCCAUAACCUUGUGAGAGCGCGGCUAACAAAGUCAAGUAAUCGAAGGCCACUCAGUUCGGAACAUCGCCUAGUCAUCACAAUCUAUUAUCUUGCUCAUGGAGGAAGCAUGCAGCUGACAGCUUGGAGCUUCUAUGUUUUAAAAUCAACUGUAAGCGUCAUCAUUUGAGAGACCUGGGAUGUUUUGUCAAAAAUACACUUGCACUCAGCAACCACAAAAAUUUGGGAAAAUAAAGCAAUGGAAUUCAACCAGCGUUGGAAUUCACCUAAUUGUAUAGGCACAAUGGACGGCAAACACAUAAUGAUAUAAUGUCCUAAGAAAUCUGGUUCUCAAUACUUCAAUUACAAAAAAACGUUUAGUAUUAUUCUAAUGGCAAUUUGCGAUGCAAAUUACUCAUUCACUCUCGCAGAUGUUGGGGCGUUUGGAUCUCAGAGCAAUGGGGAGGUUUUUACAGAGUCUGCUUUUGGUCAAGCAAUGGAUAACAAUGAAUUGAGAAUCCCGUGUGAUAAAUCGUUGCCUGGAACUGAUACAAGUUUUCCAUGUUUUGUAGCAGCUGAUGAGGCAUUUCCACUGAAGCGAUACAUCAUGCGACCAUAUCCAGUGAUCGUUGAGUCGUCUGCUACCGCGGUCUACCCGUAGAGGACUUGAGGAGGCGAGCGCUCAUUGCCGGCAAUCGAGGCGGUAGAAGGUUGUCCGAUUUAACUCGACGCGCGUGACCGCUGAGGGGUCCACAAUCAAACACACUUGGCGUACUUGGCGCGAGACUCUACCGAGUCUCUUGAUGUGUAAGGAGGGAAGAUGUUUCGAUGACACAUUCCAUGAAACCCCGUAAGAGCCUGUGUUGAACAAGCGCCUAAAAUUACCAUUUGUGUAGGGUUCUUGAGCUCUGGUGAAUCUUCAACUGCCGAUAGGUAGUUCAAAUAAGUAAUUCAAUUUCAUAGAUAAAAUACUUUAUAGCAUCGAUAAAUUUCGCACACGUACGCUUUAUGACAAUAACAUAGUUUAGACAUAAUAUGUUUUCUAUGACUAGGUGGCUAUUUUAUAUUAAUUUACAUUUCAGUGUUAUUAUACAUAUCACAUACUGCAAAAAAUGCACAUCAACUAACAAAGUUCUGUCGCUGGCAUCAUUGAGAUGAGAGGAACAUGAGUGAGUAGCAACAAUGAGUGAAAAAUAAAA